rnacentral:rRNA from 1 species
UAGGGAAUAUUGGUCAAUGGGCGCAAGCCUGAACCAGCCAUCCCGCGUGCAGGAUGACGGCCCUAUGGGUUGUAAACUGCUUUUAUACAGGAAGAAUAAGCCCCACGUGUGGGGUGAUGACGGUACUGUAAGAAUAAGGAUCGGCUAACUCCGUGCCAGCAGCCGCGGUAAUACGGAGGAUCCAAGCGUUGUCCGGAUUUAUUGGGUUUAAAGGGUGCGUAGGCGGCUUGUUAAGUCAGUGGUGAAAGUUUGCGGCUUAACCGUAAAAUUGCCAUUGAAACUGACAGGCUUGAGUGUGGUUGAGGUUGCCGGAAUGUGUCAUGUAGCGGUGAAAUGCUUAGAUAUGAUACAGAACACCGAUUGCGAAGGCAGGUAACUAAGCCAUAACUGACGCUGAGGC